AGCGAACGCUGGCGGCAGGCCUAACACAUGCAAGUCGAACGAACUCUUCGGAGUUAGUGGCGGACGGGUGAGUAACACGUGGGAACGUGCCUUUUGGUUCGGAAUAACUCAGGGAAACUUGUGCUAAUACCGAAUGUGCCCUUCGGGGAAGAUUUAUCGCCAUUAGAGCGGCCCGCGUCUGAUUAGCUAGUUGGUGAGGUAAAGGCUCACCAAGGCGACGAUCAGUAGCUGGUCUGAGAGGAUGAUCAGCCACAUUGGGACUGAGACACGGCCCAA
rnacentral:rRNA from 1 species